AGAGUAGUGAUGGUAUGAGAAAUAUAAAACAGAUUUUAAUUGGCAACAAAUGUAUGGAAGAAUCAACUGUGUUCAGCAAAAUUGUGUGGUCAAUCUCUGAGCAACCAGCGCUGGAUGUUGAGUUUGGAGGGUCAAGUUGUGUGUGAAGGAGCACAGCCCAACUUCAUCACUGGCCUGGCAGCACUGUUUGCCUCCUUCUAUAAUUUCAAUUUACAGUACCAGGAAGAGGCAGCAUGCACCCUUGAGUUUGUUCAGAGACGCUUUGUUGACAUCAAUCCUGAAUGUGGAUCGAAAGCAAAAAAAGGAAAAGUGACUUCAAAGAAAACUG